rnacentral:tRNA from 1 species
GUCACGAUAGCUCAAGUGGUAGAGCAGCGGCGUUUUUAGCCGAAGGUCGUGGGUUCGAAUCCCGCUUGUGACA